rnacentral:rRNA from 1 species
GACGAACGCUGGCGGCGUGCUUAACACAUGCAAGUCGAACGGAAAGGCCCCUUUGGGGGUACUCGAGUGGCGAACGGGUGAGUAACACGUGAGUAACCUGCCCUUGACUUCGGGAUAACUUCAGGAAACUGGGGCUAAUACCGGAUAGGAAUCCUUGCUGCAUGGUGGGGGUUGGAAAGCUUCGGCGGUUUUGGAUGGACUCGCGGCUUAUCAGCUUGUUGGUGGGGUUGUGGCUUACCAAGGCUUUGACGGGUAGCCGGCCUGAGAGGGCGACCGGCCACAUUGGGACUGAGAUACGGCCCAGACUCCUACGGGAGGCAGCAGUGGGGAAUAUUGCACAAGGGGCGGAGGCCUGAUGCAGCAACGCCGCGUGCGGGAUGACGGCCUUCGGGUUGUAAACCGCUUUCAGCAGGGGCGAAGCUUGUGGUGACGGUACCUGCAGAAGAAGCACCGGCUAACUACGUG